rnacentral:rRNA from 1 species
ACACCAUGGGAGUCUAUUGCACCAGAAGUAGGUAGCCUAACGCAAGAGGGCGCUUACCACGGUGUGGUCGAUGACUGGGGUGAAGUCGUAACAAGGUAGCCGUAGGGGAACCUGCGGCUGGAUCACCUCCUUAA